UACGAGGGGAGCAAGCGUUGUUCGGAUUUACUGGGCGUAAAGGGCGCGUAGGCGGCCACGACAAGUCACUUGUGAAAUCUCCGGGCUUAACUCGGAACGGUCAAGUGAUACUGUCGGGCUAGAGUACAGAAGGGGCAACUGGAAUUCCCAGUGUAGCGGUGAAAUGCGUAGAUAUUGGGAAGAACACCGGUGGCGAAAGCGCUCUGCUGGACCUGCACUGACACUGAGGGACGAAAGCUAGGGGAGCGAAAGGG
rnacentral:rRNA from 1 species